AGUGAACGCUGGCGGCGUGCCUAAUACAUGCAAGUCGAACGCAGUGGGGACGGGUGAGUAACACGUGGGUAACCUCCCAUCAGAGGGGAUAACACUUGGAAACAGGUGCUAAACCGAUACUGAUGGAUGGACCCGCGGUGCAUUAGCUAGUUGGUGAGGGAACGGCUCACCAAGGCCACGAGGCAUAGCCGACCGGGGAGGGUGAUCGGCCACACUGGGACUUGGACACGGCCCAGACUCCUACGGGAGGCAGCAGUAGGGAAUCUUCGGCAAUGGACGAAAGUCUUACCGAGCAACGCCGCGUGAGUGAAGAAGGUUUUCGGAUCGUAAAACUCUGUUGUAAGAGAAGCGGUAUCUAACCAGAAAGCCACGGCUAACUACGUGCCAGCAGCCGCGGUAAUUC
rnacentral:rRNA from 1 species